rnacentral:rRNA from 1 species
CCUACGGGAGGCUGCAGUGAGGAAUAUUGGUCAAUGGGCGGGAGACUGAACCAGCCAAGCCGCGUGAGGGAUGACGGUCCAGAGUAUCGUAAACCUCUUUUGUCAGGGAACAAAGGCGGGGACGUGUCCCCGGAUGAGUGUACCUGAAGAAAAAGCAUCGGCUAACUCCGGGCCAGCAGCCGCGGUAAUACGGAGGAUGCGAGCGUUAUCCGGAUUUAUUGGGUUUAAAGGGUGCGCAGGCGGUCUGUUAAGUCAGCGGUCAAAGCACGGGGCUCAACCCCGUCCCGCCGUUGAAACUGGCAGUCUCGAGUUGGAGAGAAGUAUGCGGAAUGCGCGGUGUAGCGGUGAAAUGCAUAGAUAUCGCGCAGAACUCCGAUUGCGAAGGCGGCUUACUGGACUGUAACUGACGUUGAGGCUCGAAAGCGUGGGGAGCAAACAGGAUUAGAUACCCGGGUAGUC